ACUGGACGGACGUGAGUUAUUUUUGUGUCCAAAUAUGUGUUUUUGGAACAGACUGGUUUUCAUUAUUUACAUUUUCAAUAUGUGUUUAUGCAUGUAGAAAAGAUUCAAAAAUGUUAAUUUUCAUGAAUAAAAUUAAAAAAAUUAUUUUUGAUCAAUUAAAACAUAAUGCCUUUUAGUAAAAUACAUUCGAAAAAUUUUACUAUGGUCAUAUAUAGAAAAUGAUAUAACUGCUAUAUGACGAUCUUAUGCACGAUAAAAACCUAUAUAGAACUUUAAGUUGGAAGUUUGUAUAUUUUAUCGUUCUAGGGUGUGUACCAGAGAUUGACAAUGAGUUUGUAUGAAACAAGUAAUCCAAUUAUUUACUCAUAAUUUUUUAACACAAAGUACGUCCACACAAGUUUCAUUUUGAGUGUCUUCAUGUACGUAUUCGCAAUGAAAUAUAAUUACAUAUAUUCAAUACGCGUAUCAAACAUGUAUAGACUUAUUCACUAUUCAAAAGCAUAGCUAGCUGGUAUGUGUUAUCUCAAAUGAAUAAAAACAAAGGAUAUGUUGGAAAUUUCUUUUAUUCAAACAUUUCAACAAAAUACCCAAACGAAAAAACGAUUAUUGAGGAUAUUAUGAUUUAUUCUAUUAACUUUAAGUAUUGCUUUAACAAAUAACAUAUUAAAAAAAUUUUAAACCAUAA